rnacentral:lncRNA from 1 species
AGAUGCUUCUUAUGUGGGAUGGCACGAAUACUCCAUUAGUCACUAUCAAUUAUCUAAACAAAGUGAGUGCUUUUUACUUUCCUAAGUAGGCUUUGAACUCGGAGUACACUUGUGAUGUCAGUAGACAAAGUUCAAUUAGGAGAGGUGCGCAGUGGAAUGGAACUUUACCAAGCCGAAGUGGCUUACUCUUGCAAUAGCUUUAUUCUGCUUACAAUCGUUUGGGUUACAUCUUUAUCAAGGCCUCAAGGGCUAUAUAUGGACAUACUGAAGAACAACAACACUAAUGUAUAUAUGGUAAAAUUCUCUUCCACUUUUUUUUCUUCCUUUUGCAUUAUUUUGUGGAGGCAACAUAUCUUUUUUUUUUUUUUUUUACAUUUAGUUUAAGCUGAAAUUAGUGUUACUUAAUGUCUCUCCGUAAUCCUUGAAAGCUGGUGGUACUGGAGGAUUAAUACUUUUGCUUUUUUCCAUUUUAUAUAGAUUUUCAGGAUUUAUGAUUUUGGUAAGAGUGGAACCAUGAGUUUUGAAGUUGAAGAAGAUUUCUUGCAGAUUGUCUCUAUAUUCUCAUUCAUCCGUUAGCUUUUCAUUGGUAUGAAAGUUUAUAUAGUUGAAUCCAGUUUUUCUUUUAUGUGUUAUAUGUUUAAUUACAGAUAUUCUUUCAAGCUU